UCCCACAGAGUCCACUGAGCGGCCAUCUC
rnacentral:piRNA from 1 species